GGGGAGGGGAGGCCGUCGCCGCUGGCUCCGCCCACCGCGUGGUCCAAGGACCACCACCCGCCACCGCCGCGCGAGCGUACUAUUGCGGCCGCCCUCUGCUGCGCCUGAAGAGAGAGGCGACUCUACAAGCCUCACAGCAUGCACUGUUACUAAAAAGACGAUGCGUCCUCCUGGACCUGAGAUCUGUGUGAUCGUGGGAAAGCGACGAAAAACGAACAAAGGAACAGUAAAUGGAGUAACUUGGCUAGAAUAUGGCAGUAACUACAAGGCAUGUUCUGCUCUGGCACGAAGGAAAGGCUAUAUGAAGACAGAGCAAGAAGGUAGUUAUCUACAAGCCAGGAAGAGAGUCCUCACCAAAACACAACCAUGCUGGUACCCUGAUCUUCAACUUCCAGUCUUGAGCUGUUGAGAAAAUAAACUUUUAUUGUUUAAGCCACCUAGUCUAUGGUAUUUUGUUAUGGCAGCCUGAGCAGACUAAGAUACUUUUUAUUACCAAAAUCCUUUUGGAUCUACCUUCAAAACAUAUUCAUAUUACAACCAGUCUCCCCAAAUUCUGUUAGUACCUUAACUCAAGUUACUAUCAUCUGUCACUUGAAAUAGAGCAAUAGCCUCCUAACUAUAUACGGAUGUCAAUCCUCCUCAUUGAGAUGCAGUCCAUUUUCUCCCUGAAACUGAGCAGGCCUUUUGACUUGCUUUGACCAAUAGAAUUUGAAGAAAUGAUGCUGAGCCAGUUCCAGGCCUACCCCUUAAGGAGACUUGACACUUUCUACUUUAGCUCUCUUGGAACUUUGAGCCACCACGUGAGGAGUCUGAUUACCCAUUCGCAAGUGAUGCCUAAACAGCCCCUGUUCCUUCCAGACAACCCACCUGAGGCACCAGACACAUGAGUGAAGCCAUCUUGGACAUCCCAGUCACAGCCAAACUCACUCCUGAGUGCAUCUGCAUGAUGAACCCAGCAAUCCCCACCAUGGAGCAAAGGAUCCAUCCAGUCAACCCAAAGAAUCGUGAAAAAUAAUAAAUUGUUGUUUUAAAGUUCUUCAGUUUGGGAAUAGCUUGUUAUGCAACAAUACAUAAUUAAUACACUGGUCUCCCACUUUCAAGUUUGAUUAACUUUCAGCUAUUUUUCACAUAGCAGGCAGAGUGAUUCCAUUAAAACAUAUAUCAGAUAAUGUCACUGCACUAAGUAAACUCUACAAGGACUCUCAUCUCCCUCAGAGUAAAGGUCACAGUUGUUACAAGGCCCUACGUAAUGUGGCCCUCACCACCACUCCAUUACCUUUUUCUUAUCUACUAUUUGCUAACUUUGCUUUGUCCUCUUUUCUGUUCUGAAACAGGCUAGGCAUGGUCCUGCCUCAAGGCCUUUGCACCACCUACUCUGUCUGCUUGGAUUGUUCUUCCCACAGAUUUCUUGCUCCCUUCUUCCUUCAUGAAGAAAUGUCAUGAAAUGUCCUUCCUUCAUGAAAUGUCACCUUCUCAUUUGAGGCCUUCUGUAGUACCCCAAAGAAUGGUCCCCAAAGAUGUCCACAUCCUUAUGCCCAGAACCUGUGAAUGUGUUAUCUUAAUGGCAAAAGUGACUUUGCAAAUGUGAUUAUAUUUAAGGAUCUUAAGGAGGAGAUUAUCCUGGAUUAUCCAGGAGGGCCCAAUGUAAUCACAAGGGCCCUUAUAAGUGAAAGGGGGAGGCAACAGAGAGAAGGAGAUGUCAUAAUGAAAACAGAUCCAAGUGAUGAGAUUGCUGGCUGGGGUGGAGGUGGAGGGGGGUACAAUCCAAGGAAUGCAAGAAGCCUCUAAAAGCUAGGAAAUGUCAGGACACAAAUUCUCCCCUAGAACCUGAGGAAGAAACCCAGGUUUAUGGACACUGAUUUUAACCCAAUAAGUCCCUUUUCUGACUGCUGACCUCCAAAACUGUAAGAUAAUAAAUUUGUGUUAUUUUAAGCCAACUGAGUUUGAGAUAAUUUAGUUAUGGCAGCAAUAGGAAACUAGCACACCUUCCUAGCCAUCCUAUCUAAAAUGGCAACCCAUGUCCUUCCUGGCACUUCCUAUCUCCCUUCCAUGUUUUUUUUAAAUCAUAUAUACAAUAUAUUUUACUGUUUUACCUAUUGUCUUUUCCACCAGAAAGUAAACUCCACGUAAAUAAGGAUUGUCUGUUUUAUUCUUUGCAGUAUCUCCACUGCCUAGGAUAGCAUCUGCACAUACUGCACACUCAGUACACAUUUGUCGAAUGAGGUCAGGCGCGGUGGUUCACACCUGUAAUCCCAGCACUUUGGGAGGCCAAGGCGGGUGGAUCACCUUAGGUUAGGAGUUCGAGACCAGCCUGGCCAACAUGGUGAAACCAUGUCUCUACUAAAAAUACAAAAAGUAGUUGGGCAUGGUGGCAUGUGCCUGUAAUCCCAGCUACUUGGGAGGCUGUGGCAGGAGAGUCACUUGAAUCUGGGAGGUGGAGGUUGCAGUGAGCCAAGAUUGUGCCACUCCACUCCAGCCUGGGCAACAGAGUAAGACUCUGGCUCAAAAAAAAAAAAAAAGAAAGAAAGAAAAAAAUACAUAUUUGUUGAAUGAACAAGUGAAUGAACAAAUGUUAUGCAAAUAUAUUAUCCCUAUCUGUAGCUUGCCUUUUAAUUUUGUUAUAGUAACUUUGGUUGAAAGGAAGUUCUAAAAUCUUUAAUAUAAUCAAAUGUAUCAAUCUUUUCAACUUGUAUAUUUUAUGCCUUGUUUAAUCAACUCUGUCUUAUAUCAAAAUUAUAAAAGUAUUACCCUGUAUUUUCUUAUAAAAGUUUUGAAUCUUUUCUUUUUCCACUUAGAUCAUUAAUCAACUUGGAAUUGGUGUUACAUAGUGGUAAAUGAUUGUCCCAGGACCACAUAUUGAAUAUUUUAUCAUUUCUCCACUGAUUUGUAACAACACAGUGGUUAUAUAUCCUGUUUAUACAUGGGUCUGUCUCUAGGUUUCCGGUUCUGUUCCAGUGGUCUGUUUGCUUACCCUUCUACUAAUAGCACAUUGGCCUAAUUACUAUAACUUUAUAAUGUGGCUCAAUCUCUGGAAAACCACAUACCUCUCCCCUCCUCUUUCUACAAUAUUCUUAUAUUUUGCAACUGGCCUUUACUGUUUUGUAUUAUUUUUAACAAUACCUUAUAUACCCACAUAUAUUAGAUGCUCUUAGCAUCACUAUUUAUAGCAUCUAAAAAUUGGAAAUUAUUUAAAUGUCCACCAAUACAUUAGUUAAAUAAAUUAGGUUAUACUCACAUAGUGGAAUACGAUACUGGCUUUCAAAAGAAUGAGGUAAAUUUACAUAUCUACAUUAAAAGGUAUUCAAGAUAUCAGAAAAAAGGGCAAGUUGCAAAACAAUAUUUAGAGUAAGAACCUAUUCAUGAAUUUUUUUAAUGUAAUUUGUGUUACAUGUAGAAAAAAAUAUGGGCAAGAAUACAUCAAAAUGUUAACAGUGGUUAUAUCUGAGGAUCAGGAAUAGGAAGAACAUUCGCUUUCUAAGGUAUGUAUUCCUAUAAUUCAUGGAUAUGACAAUAACCAAGUAUUACUUUUACAAUAGAAUAUAUAGGUUUUAACUUUGGUUAAAGCAAAUAUAUCUUUUUUUUUUUUUUUUUUGAGAUGGAGUCUCGCUCUGUUGCCCAGGCUGGAGUGCAGUGGUGUGAUCUCAGCUCACUGCAAGCUCUGCCUCCCAGGUUCAGGCCAUUCUCCUGCCUCAGCCUCCCGUGUAGCUGGGACUACAGGCGCCCACCACCACGCCCGGCUAAUUUUUUGUAUUUUUUAGUAGAGACAGGGUUUCACCGUGUUAGCCAGGAUGGUCUCGAUCUCCUGACCUUGUGAUCUGCCCGCCUCGGCCUCCCAAAGUGCUGGGAUUACAGGUGUGAGUCACUGCCCCCGGCUGCAAAUAUAUCUUAAUGUUAAAUGUGUAUUUUUCUGAUGAUAAAAUUAUGAGAAAUGUUAUUUUCAUUUUUGUUUUCCAAAUUGUUUACAAUAAGUAUACAUUAUAAUAAAGGUGGAAGCAUUAUUUAGAAAAAUAUUAACAAUGUUUUUUAAUAUUGGGGUAUGGUGAUAU
rnacentral:lncRNA from 1 species